rnacentral:lncRNA from 1 species
UUAGUAAUUUAUCAACCAAUUGUUUUAAACAAAAAUUGAUAACCUAAUAAUCAUAUCAAAGGAUUAUUAAGUGAUCAUCCAAUUAUUGUACACUAUCAAAAUUUAUUGUAACGGCCCAGAACUUGAAAGGAAAUAAAUUAUAAAUUUGAAUGCGGAAGUGAAAUAAUAGCGUUAGAGUUUACAUUUCUUACACAAUAGGACUACAGGAAUUACCCUUUUAAAAGAACAACGGAAAAUUAAAGAAAUAAAUUGAAAAGUGAAUAAUUGAACAUCAUAUUCGCAACCCUCUUGUGGAUCGGGAUCUAGAUCUUAGUUCUCUUGAUCUGAAAUUGUUAAUGAAAGAGUGAGCUACACCAACCUAGUAAGAAUAUCACGCCACUCACUCGAUUCAAAAAAUGAAGGUUGGUAAAAAUCAUGAAAACUACUAAUGAAGCUCUUAAUUUAAGUAAAUUCAUUUAUCAUAAAUAAAUUAUUUAUUAUACACCUACCAUAGUAAAAUUUUUAAAAACUGACCUAUAGAGGUAAUGACACAAACAAUCUCAUAAUCUCACGUACAAUUAAGUAAAAAUAACAACUUUCGCCUUUUAUCUGCCUACUAGUAUCCAUGGGGAUUCAUAGGGAUGUCCCCACUAUGCGUGAACCCUUAUUCAAUAUUUUCAAUUAACUGGCCGCCCCCAUACCUCGUCCGAUAUGAGCACCAAAAAUAUAAUCCCUCAAUAUUUCAUCCGAUAUGAGGUUGAAACGAGUUAUCCCCAUACCUCGUCCGGUAUGAGCGUCAAAGUACCAAUCCUCCAUACCUCGUCCGAUAUGAGGCAACGUUCAUGGUAGGAUUCCCUAUGUACCCGAUCCAUCCACCAUCUCCCAGGAUAUCCAGUAAGAUUACCAUUCACUCAAUCACUUAAUCAAACAAUUCCUCGUUUACAUUUAAUUUUCAGUUUCACAAUUUAACUGUAAAUCACGCAGAACAAGCAAUACAUACAUCAAGAAAACACAACAAAUCACCAUGCCAACUUCAGUGUAUUAUUAUGCAUUUGACACUGUAAAAUCAAUCAAACAGGAUAAACAGUGAAUAAAAAUCUGGUUCCAGCUCCAUUAGUGACAUGUGAUUAAUUAUCAAUAUUUUUUAAAUUGUAUAAAAUACCACAUUAUUUAUAAUUAAACUUCAAUUUCAUAACUAGGAAUAGAGUGAGGGAUUCUUACUCAAAUUGGUGUCUGAACAUUGAACUUUUACAUACGCCUACUGGCGGUCCCCGGCUUCCCUAAAUUUUUUUUCAAAAAUUAAAAUACGUUCCAAGUACCUAGAAAUACCCUAAAAAUUCAAAAUCGGCAUUAGAAACCUUUUUCGGCCAAUUUCGAGAUUCUGGCACGGCAGUGCUGCCAUGCUCCGCUGACGGCACUUUGCCUCAGGUUGGCCAUUUUUGGCCAGUUUCGGCUGAUUUCGGCUAGUUUUGUGCUCAUUCAUGCAAGAAAAUAUGUUAAGGGACUUUGGUUAGCCGAAAAAAGUCAAAAAAUAGAAACUUACCGACAACGAAAUUUUUCGGUGCGGUAGCUCCGCCAGCUCGCCUUAGCGGUUAGGCGUUUUUCUUUGAUCAACUUGUGGGAAACAAGAUGGUGAAUAUAAUGAUGGAAAAAUUACACAAAACGGGAAUCGAGAAUAGCCUCAUCAGAGGCAGUUUUUGAUAUUUUCUGCGGCGGCACCGCCAAACUUUACCUGCGAUUUCUGGCUCAUCUGCUAGUCUAUUUG